GGCGGAUGUAGCCAAGUGGAUCAAGGCAGUGGAUU
rnacentral:ncRNA from 103 species